rnacentral:misc_RNA from 1 species
GAAAUGCGAUAAGUAAUGUGAAUUGCAGAAUUCAGUGAAUCAUCGAAUCUUUGAACGCACAUUGCGCCCCCUGGCAUUCCGGGGGGGCAUGCCUGUUCGAGCGUCAUUACACCACUCAAGCCUGGCUUGGUAUUGGGCGGCCGCGGUCCUCCCCGCGCGCCCUAAUGUCUCCGGCUGAGCCGUCCGUCUCUAAGCGUUGUGGCACACCAGUUCGCUUGCGAGGCCCGGGCGGUUCGACGCCGUUAAACCCCUUCUUCUCAAAGGUUGACCUCGGAUCAGGUAGGGAUACCCGCUGAACUUAAGC